rnacentral:rRNA from 1 species
ACUUAAAGGAAUUGGCGGGGGAGCACCACAACAGGUGGAGCCUGCGGUUUAAUCGGACUCAACGCCGGGAAACUCACCAGUUAAGACAGCUGAAUGAUAGUCGGGCUGAAGACUCUACUUGACUAGCUGAGAGGAGGUGCAUGGCCGUCGUCAGUUCGUACUGUGAAGCAUCCUGUUAAGUCAGGCAACGAGCGAGACCCACGCCAACAGUUGCUAGCUCGUCCUCCGGGAUGGAGAGGACACUGUUGGGACCGCCUCUGCUAAAGAGGAGGAAGGAAUGGGCAACGGUAGGUCAGCAUGCCCCGAAUUAACUGGGCUACACGCGGGCUACAAUGGGUGGGACAAUGGGUAUCGACACCGAGAGGUGAAGGCAAUCUCCUAAACCCAUCCGUAGUUCGG